CGCGAGGUUAGGUACGUUAUAGUACAUUACAGUCCAGGCCUGAAAUAAAGCGAUUACUGGCCGAGUCAUAUUGGAAGGCCGAGCCGAAGCCGAGGACUUCUUAAGUGAUUUUAAACUAAACGAGGUCGGUAAUUGCUAUUUCGGCCGAGACAUGUUGACUUGAGAAAACUUAAAAUCAUAAACCAUACAGUCUGAAACACACCAAUUCAAACGUGACGAUCUUGUUAAAAAAUAUUAAAAGUUAA